UCGGACAUGGUGUACGGAACACCGCCAGCUUUCUUGAGAUGUGUUGAACAGCAAGUCGCCGGCAGUCCGGGGUUCGACCCCCCGUGUCCGAA